CCGGAUGAACCGUGCAAAUUGUUUUUCGUAUUACUUAUUUCAAUUAUGUUGAACGGGAAACAAUUUGUGUAGCUUGCCUGGAGAAGCAACCUAAA
rnacentral:pre_miRNA from 1 species